AGAAUCAACGCUGGCGGCGUGCCUAACACAUGCAAGUCGCACGAGAAAGGGGCUUCGGCUCUGAGUAAAGUGGCGCACGGGUGAGUAACACGUGAAUAAUCUACCUCCGAGUGGGGAAUAACUGAGAGAAAUCUUAGCUAAUACCGCAUAACACUUACGAGUCAAAGCAGCAAUGCGCUUGGAGAGGAGUUCGCGGCCGAUUAGUUAGUUGGCGGGGUAAUGGCCCACCAAGACGAUGAUCGGUAUCCGGCCUGAGAGGGCGCACGGACACACUGGAACUGAAACACGGUCCAGACUCCUACGGGAGGCAGCAGUGGGGAAUUUUGCGCAAUGGGGGAAACCCUGACGCAGCAACGCCGCGUGGAGGAUGAAAUAUCUUGGUAUGUAAACUCCUUUCGAUGGGGAAGAUUAUGACGGUACCCAUAGAAGAAGCCCCGGCUAACUUCGUGCCAGCAGCCGC
rnacentral:rRNA from 1 species